rnacentral:piRNA from 1 species
UGGGAAGUACGUCCUGGGGUACAAGCA